UACGUAGGGUGCAAGCGUUAAUCGGAAUUACUGGGCGUAAAGCGUACGCAGGCGGCUUUGCAAGACAGGUGUGAAAUCCCCGGGCCUAACCUGGGAACUGCAUUUGUGACUGCAUGGCUAGAGUUUGUCAGAGGGGGGUGGAGUUCCACGUGUAGCAGUGAAAUGCGUAGAUAUGUGGAGGAACACCGAUGGCGAAGGCAGCCCCCUGGGAUGUGACUGACGCUCAUGUACGAAAGCGUGGGGAGCAAACAGG
rnacentral:rRNA from 1 species